AGAAGCGGAAGCUUGUGCGUUACCAAACAACGGCCAUAGAAUAUGCUCUUAGCUGUUAUCAACUUUGCCGGGAACUUCAUCGGAGCCGGAGCACCAAUCACUGCUUCUCAACUCUAACCAUUUCAAUUCCUUCUCUCUCUCUCUCUCUCUCUACCUUCUUCUUCUUCUUCCUCUUCCUCUUCUUCCUCUUCCCGGUAUCUUCUCUCUUUCUUCUUCGCCUCCGCUUCAAUUUGACUUCAAUUUCUUCGUCUCCUUUACUCACUUCCCUCGUCUUCUGCACCUCUGAUUCGCCUGCACCAAUUCCGAACCCUGACUUGUAAUUCACGGCUGUGAUUGAUUUCCAGCGGAAUUCUGUGCUUCCACGUCAAAUUACUACACCUCUGUGAUUUUCUAGGGCUUGAAACUCCAAGGCUUUGGCAGUGAAGCGGAGGAUUCAGUAUACAGCUAGACGUGGCGUGGCGUCCAGUUUCUGUAUCAAUCAAAGUGUGGAGAAUAAGAGUUCUUUAGAGCUCUCUGGCUUAUGAUCUAAGUUCAGUACUUGUGCAUAUGGUUUCUACAGGGGAUCAGUUAGAGAAUGGGGUUGAUUCCGAUCAAUUGGAUCAUGAAAACAGUUCAGAUAGUCAACCGCAAGCGUCUCAGGACGAUCCUGGUGGAACUAAUGCUUCGAAAUCAGAUCACAAAUGCACAGGGGCUUCCAGUAAUACACUUGAAGAAGCUGUCAAGCAGCCUGAAGUUACAAUAGCACUAGUGGAUCGAGGAGACAUCUCUAAUAUAGUGACUGAGAAAGUGACCCAUAAGCCAAUUACUGCAGAACAGAAUCCCCUAUCUGUUUUGAAAGUAUGUAUUACCUCCAGUAUACGAGAGAAAGUAUCAGAGGAUGGAUAUAACUGGCGGAAAUAUGGUCAGAAACUGGUUAAGGGCAAUGUCUUUGUUAGAAGCUAUUACAGAUGUACGCAUCCUACUUGCAUGGUGAAAAAACAACUGGAGCGUACUCAUGAUGGGAAAAUCACAGACACCGUUUACUUUGGUCAGCAUGAUCACCCUAAACCUCAACCUCAUAUUCCAAUUCCUGUUGGAGUCGUUACCAUGGUUGAAGAAAAAUUAGGUGAACAUGCUUCUGGAAAUUCUCAAGAUAAAACCUCCACUACGCUUAGCCCAACUCCUCAACAAACGGAGCUUACUGAUAUGCGUCAACCGCCAUCAGUUAUAGCCAGUGAUAAUGUAAAAGAUGAAGCUUCGAAAAGGUCUCGGACUAAUGAUGAAGCUUCGAAAAGGUCUAGGACUAUUGAUGAGAUUGAUAGUGAUGAUACACCAGACCUGAAACGAGAUUUCAAAAGGAAGAAAAGAUGUAAUAUUGACGUGACGACUGUAGCAGACAAGUCAAUUGUUGAAUCUCGGGUUGUUGUUCAAACUCCUAGUGAGGUUGACAUCGUCAAUGAUGGAUACCGCUGGCGGAAGUAUGGACAGAAAUUUGUGAAAGGAAAUCCAAAUCCUAGGAGUUACUACAGAUGCUCAAGUCCUGGAUGUCCAGUUAAGAAACAUGUAGAGAGGGCGUCUCAUGAUCCCAAAGUGGUGCUUACCACAUAUGAGGGCCAGCAUGACCAUGUUCUGCCACCUAUUAGAACAGUGACGUUGAACUCAGUUGGAUCCACAACAGCCCAUAGUGACGAAACAAAACCAAAACCAGUUAGUACGGUGGUUCAUGCUAGUAAGGAUCCGCAAAGCGAUUCAAGUUCUGAAGGCAAAUUGAUUGAAGAGAAUGGGAAGUUGAAUGCAACAGAAACAAGUGAUGACAUUAUACUCGAUGGGGUGGUGGUAAAUCCUAGCCCAGGAGUUGCGAGUGAACAAAAUAAGCAGCUGAAAGUAGCAAUCGAAAGCUAGAGGUAGCAUGCCCUUCCAGGUUCAAAUUUGUAUCAUCAAUCAAGACACAUUAAUAACAGCACCAAAUCAUGCAUAGUAGUAAAGAGAGUCAAAGUUUAAUGGAAGCAGCUAUUGUCGCUUCGCUCCCCGGGACGAUUCAAGGACUUUUCCCUGUAACCUGAAGCUGAUUCUUGUUUGGAAUGGCAGUCAAUCUUCAAAUCCGUUGGAACAGUAUAGUAAUAAAGAUAAGUUUCUUAAGGUUACUAUAUUCUAAAGUUUCAUUUGACCCACUAAAACAUAAACAUGUUGAGCGAGACCAGGCUUCAAGCACAAACCAUAACAGCAAGGCGGCCUAUACUUCAGCAUAAAAUUUGACUGACUAUCAAGGGAGGUGUAAAUAACAUUGCCUAAAACAUGAAAUUGUACCUAUUCAGUACAUUUCUCCUCACUAAAGUUAAAGUUUGCUAGGGUUCCUCUAA